AGCCCCUGCGGCCCCGGGCAGACGGAGGGCGGUCAGCGCCCUGGCGGCCCCCACAGCGGGGCUCCGGGGAAUGGUGUUCCCAGGGAAGGUGCUGCCCCCGCUUCGGGGUGAGGCGGGGUUGCGGAGAGCCGGAGAGCAGCAGCGGGACGGGGCUGGCGCUGGCCGCGGCUGAGGAUCACUUUUAAUUUCUCACAAAUGUCUGCAGCUCAUCCUGCUCCGGCAAAAUUCAUGCUGGCCUUGGAGACAUUGCUGAAAAUAUUUGGCUCCCUGAAGAGCUGGGCUUCAAAUCUUCAAACAAGGAAGCCAGGUACAGCUCCUCUGAAGUGUGGCUUUCUCAAACGUGUAGAAACCAGAGGCAUCCAACCCUCAGCUUUCCUGGCUGUCCAUGAAAAAUCGAGAGAGACACAAAGACUUUCUGAAAUUAAUGAUGGACACAGGAGCCUUGUCUCGGGUGCUUCUCACCCAUCCACCAAGAGUGUCCCUCCUGGCAGAAGGAAAAUGUGAUUGAUUUGCUGUGAUUUUUGCUUAGGGUGUUUGCUAACAUGGAUUUAUGGCCUUUUAAUGGUGCAGCCACUUGCAAGUUAGAUGGGUUGUUUUGGUUGCUGGUUUUGGUGCCUCUAGACUGAACUGCAUUGUAGGGGUCUGUCAGUCCCUUUUAUUUUAAGAUAUUUCUGCCCCUUUCUUCCCAUUCCCAAGGCUUGCGGAAGAGCUGGGAGAGACAUCCAACCUGUUCCCUACUGCAGAGAGAAUUUCACUGCUAAAAAAUAAAGCUUAGUGUAUUAAAUA